rnacentral:tRNA from 1 species
GGUGAUUAGCUCAGCUGGGAGAGCACCUCCCUUACAAGGAGGGGGUCGGCGGUUCGAUCCCGUCACGACG